CGCUGGCGGCGUGCCUAACACAUGCAAGUCGAACGAGAAAGUGGAGCAAUCCAUGAGUAAAGUGGCGACCGGGUGAGUAACACGUGACUAACCUACCUUCGAGUGGGGGAUAACCUCGGGAAACCGGGGCUAAUACCGCAUAACAUCUUUGGAGUGGAAAUUCUGGAGAUCAAAGGAGCAAUUCGCUGGAAGAGGGGGUCGCGGCUGAUUAGCUAGUUGGCGGGGUAACGGCCCACCAAGGCAAAGAUCGGUAUCCGGCCUGAGAGGGCGCACGGACACACUGGAACUGAAACACGGUCCAGACUCCUACGGGAGGCAGCAGUGGGGAAUUUUGCGCAAUGGGGGAAACCCUGACGCAGCAACGCCGCGUGGAGGAUGAAGUCCCUUGGGACGUAAACUCCUUUCGACCCGGACGAUAAUGACGGUACGGGUGGAAGAAGCCCCGGCUAACUUCGUGCCAGCAGCCGCGGUAAUACGAGGGGGGCAAGCGUUGUUCGGAAUUAUUGGGCGUAAAGGGCGCGUAGGCGGUGCGGUAAGUCACCUGUGAAACCUCUAGGCUCAACCUAGAGCCUGCAGGCGAAACUGCCGUGCUUGAGGGUGGGAGAGGUGCGUGGAAUUCCCGGUGUAGCGGUGAAAUGC
rnacentral:rRNA from 1 species